rnacentral:ncRNA from 1 species
GUCCCUAUCUGCCGUGGGCGUUUGAGAUUUGAGAGGAGUUGCUCCUAGUACGAGAGGACCGGAGUGAACGAACCUCUGGUGCACCGGUUGUCACGCCAGUGGCAUGGCCGGGUAGCUACGUUCGGAAGAGAUAACCGCUGAAAGCAUCUAAGUGGGAAGCUCACCUCAAGAUUAGAUCUCGCGAUCCGCAAGGGUCCUAAAGGUCCGUUGGAGACUACAACGUUGAUAGGCUGGGUGUGGAAGUGCAGUAAUGCAUGUAGCUAACCAGUACUAAUUGACCGUGAGACUUGACCAU